rnacentral:lncRNA from 1 species
CUAAAGCAAGAGAUUACACUACAGACAGAACAAAACCCCGGUAGCAACCUACCAAUUAUAUGGACACUUCAUAUCUUCCUUUGUGCAUCAAAGUACCUGGGAAUUUCACAAACAAGCAAAAUGUGAUUCCAGAUUGCCAGGCAUCAUUCUUCCUUUAUUGAAAAGAAACCAUAGGAGGGGUUGAGUGCAGUGGGGAAUGUGGACACUGUCACAGAUUGUGUGAAGAGACAAAUCAGUGGCAUGAAAAAGUUCUGAUUUUGUGUGUGUGUCUGUGUGUUCUGUGUGGCGAUCCCCUUUGCGCCCCUUAUUUCUGAUUAAAAGGUAAACUCACCCUUUUCUUAUUUCUUUGGGCUCCACAAAGGUAAACUAACCCUUUUCCGCUUUCACCAGGUAUUAUCUUAAUACCAAUUCAAGUCCCACACACAGGAGCUGCUCAUAUAACUUAGGAAUCAGGGGUUUUGAUCAAAUAUUCUUUUAUUGUUAAACAAAUCAUAAGGGAAAGUUUCAGGUGUGCCCAUAUAUCAGAUCAUGUAUUCAAUCACUGGUUUUCAGAACUAUUAUAUGUUUUAAAUCACUAUAUCUCAUGUUAAGCUUAAAUGUUCAUUCCUGCUUGUUCAAUAUGAUGUAAACUGUUCAAUUACCUUUUCUAACCCCUUUAAUCUAUUCCUAAACCCUAACACUCUCUCAAUAGCUUCUGGUCCCUGACUGUCUCUAUCCCUAUCUUCUUCCAACUGUCUCUAACUGUCUCUUCCAACUGUCUAACUGUCCUGUUAGCUCCGCCCCUCCUGCUCUAUCCUCCCAUUGACAGGCAGGAGUGACGUCAUCUUUUUGCAGUCCAUUACAUUCUGUUUUGUGUUAUUUUGGUCAGGGGCAAGGCUUCGACAAGAUGUACCCUUACUUUUCCCAUCCAGAUGCCUUUGGCUCUUUUCGUAGCUGAUUUAUUGAAUAUUGAUUUAUUGGAUGGACUGCAAGAGACAUGGAAAAAAGGAAGAACUGACAAGCAGAAUAUGAAAUAAAAGGGAACAUAGCUUCUGCAGCUUCACCCUGUUCCAGACGGAGCAUGGAAAUGAAGAAAACAAUGCCACAUGCCACCCCAUUCAAUGAAUCAGGAAGGUGAGAGAUAUAUUUAAAGGCUGCCACUGACCUCCCAAGCAACAUUUUAUGGCAGGAGCCUAAGCUGCCUUCCCAGCCAAAGUCUGACAGUGGAGGAACUGCCAGCUUCCUUUUUAAAAUAGGAUGUUUUCUUUGCAUUCCUUUGUUGAGUAGGAUGGAAUCCCUUUUCCACCUACCCUGUACUGCAGUUACUUUAAUACUUUAAUGGAGCUACAGCAGUUU